rnacentral:rRNA from 1 species
AUUGAACGCUGGCGGCAUGCUUUACACAUGCAAGUCGAACGGUAACAGGUCUUCGGAUGCUGACGAGUGGCGAACGGGUGAGUAAUGUAUCGGAACGUGCCCAGUAGUGGGGGAUAACUACUCGAAAGAGUGGCUAAUACCGCAUGAGAACUGAGGUUGAAAGCGGGGGACCUUCGGGCCGUCGCGCUACUGGAGCGGCCGAUAUCAGAUUAGGUAGUUGGUGGGGUAAAGGCCUACCAAGCCGACGAUCUGUAGCUGGUCUGAGAGGACGACCAGCCACACUGGGACUGAGACACGGCCCAGACUCCUACGGGAGGCAGCAGUGGGGAAUUUUGGACAAUGGACGCAAGUCUGAUCCAGCAAUGCCGCGUGCAGGACGAAGGCCUCGGUUGGUAACUGCUUUUGUACAGAACGAAAAGGUUACCUCUAAUACAGGAGGCGUUAUGACGGUACGUGUAAGAAUAAGCACCGGCUAACUACGUAGCCAGCAGCCGCGGU